UACGGAGGGUGCAAGCGUUAUCCGGAUUUACUGGGUUUAAAGGGUGCGCAGGCGGAUAUGUAAGUCAGUGGUGAAAUCUCUAGGCUUAACCUGGAAAUUGCCGUUGAUACUAUAUAUCUUGAAUGUUGUCGAGGUGAGCGGAAUAUGUCAUGUAGCGGUGAAAUGCUUAGAUAUGACAUAGAACACCAAUUGCGAAGGCAGCUCACUAAGCAAAUAUUGACGCUGAGGCACGAAAGCGUGGGGAUCAAACAGG
rnacentral:rRNA from 1 species